AGGCCUACCAUGGUUUUAACGGGUAACGGGGAAUUAGGGUUCGAUUCCGGAGAGGGAGCCUGAGAAACGGCUACCACAUCCAAGGAAGGCAGCAGGCGCGCAAAUUACCCAAUCCCAACACGGGGAGGUAGUGACAAUAAAUAACAAUACAGGGCCUUUACGGGUCUUGUAAUUGGAAUGAGUACAAUUUAAAUCCCUUAACGAGGAACAAUUGGAGGGCAAGUCUGGUGCCAGCAGCCGCGGUAAUUCCAGCUCCAAUAGCGUAUAUUAAAGUUGUUGCAGUUAAAAAGCUCGUAGUUGAAUUUUAGCCUUGGCUGGGUGGUCCUGCCUUUUGGUAGGUACUGCUUUGGCUGGGGCUCACCUUCUGGUAAAGCAUCAUGUUCUUAAUUGGAUGUGGUGGGGAACCAGGACUUUUACUUUGAAAAAAUUAGAGUGUUUAAAGCAGGCAUUUGCUUGAAUACAUUAGCAUGGCAUAAUAGAAUAGGACUUUGGUUCUAUUUUGUUGGUUUCUAGGACUGAAGUAAUGAUUAAUAGGGAUAGUUGGGGGCAUUAGUAUUUAAUUGUCAGAGGUGAAAUUCUUGGAUUUAUGAAAGACUAACUUCUGCGAAAGCAUUUGCCAAGGAUGUUUUCAUUAAUCAAGAACGAAAGUUAGGGGAUCGAAGACGAUCAGAUACCGUCGUAGUCUUAACCAUAAACUAUGCCGACUAGGGAUCGGACGAUGUUAUUUUUUUGACUCGUUCGGCACCUUAUGAGAAAUCAAAGUUUUUAGGUUCCGGGGGGAGUAUGGUCGCAAGGCUGAAACUUAAAGGAAUUGACGGAAGGGCACCACCAGGAGUGGAGCCUGCGGCUUAAUUUGACUCAACACGGGGAAACUCACCAGGUCCAGAC
rnacentral:rRNA from 1 species